GAAAUGCGAUAAGUAAUGUGAAUUGCAGAAUUCAGUGAAUCAUCGAAUCUUUGAACGCACAUUGCGCCCCUUGGUAUUCCGAGGGGCAUGCCUGUUCGAGCGUCAUUAUAACCACUCAAGCCUCGGCUUGGUCUUGGGGUUCGCGGUCUCGCGGCCCUUAAAAUUAGUGGCGGUGCCGUCUGGCUCUAAGCGUAGUAAUUCUCUCGCUAUAGGGUUCGGGUGACCACCUGCCAGAACCCCCCAUUCUUUACGGUUGACCUCGGAUCAGGUAGGGAUACCCGCUGAACUUAA
rnacentral:misc_RNA from 1 species